UACGUUCCCGGGCCUUGUACACACCGCCCGUCACACCACGAAAGUCGGCAAUACCCGAAGCCGGUGACCCAACCCGAAAGGGAGGGAGCCGUCGAAGGUAGGGUCGAUGAUUGGGGUGAAGUCGUAACAAGGUACCC
rnacentral:rRNA from 1 species